UACGGAAGGCAGCAGUGGGGAAUAUUGCACAAUGGGCGCAAGCCUGAUGCAGCCAUGCCGCGUGUAUGAAGAAGGCCUUCGGGUUGUAAAGUACUUUCAGUCGUGAGGAAGGUGUUAAGGUUAAUAACCUUAGCAAUUGACGUUAGCGACAGAAGAAGCACCGGCUAACUCCGUGCCAGCAGCCGCGGUAAUACGGAGGGUGCGAGCGUUAAUCGGAAUUACUGGGCGUAAAGGGCACGCAGGCGGUUAAUUAAGUUGGAUGUGAAAUCCCCGGGCUUAACCUGGGAAUGGCAUUCAAGACUGGUUAGCUAGAGUCUUGUAGAGGGGGUAGAAUUCCAUGUGUAGCGGUGAAAUGCGUAGAGAUGUGGAGGAAUACCGGGUGGCGAAGGCGGCCCCUGGGACAAAGACUGACGCUCAUGUGCGAAAGCGUGGGGAGCGAAACAGGGAU
rnacentral:rRNA from 1 species